UACGGAAGGCAGCAGUGGGGAAUAUUGCACAAUGGGCGCAAGCCUGAUGCAGCCAUGCCGCGUGUAUGAAGAAGGCCUUCGGGUUGUAAAGUACUUUCAGUCGUGAGGAAGGUGUUAAGGUUAAUAACCUUAGCAAUUGACGUUAGCGACAGAAGAAGCACCGGCUAACUCCGUGCCAGCAGCCGCGGUAAUACGGAGGGUGCGAGCGUUAAUCGGAAUUACUGGGCGUAAAGGGCACGCAGGCGGUUAAUUAAGUUGGAUGUGAAAUCCCCGGGCUAACCUGGGAAUGGCAUUCAAGACUGGUUAGCUAGAGUCUUGUAGAGGGGGUAGAAUUCCAUGUGUAGCGGUGAAAUGCGUAGAGAUGUGGAGGAAUACCGGUGGCGAAGGCGGCCCCUGGGACAAAGGACUGACGCUCAUGUGCGAAAGCGUGGGGAGCGAAACAGGGAUUAGAU
rnacentral:rRNA from 1 species